GGGGAAUAUUGCACAAUGGGGGAAACCCUGAUGCAGCGACGCCGCGUGAGUGAAGAAGUAAUUCGUUACGUAAAGCUCUAUCAGCAGGGAAGAAAAUGACGGUACCUGACUAAGAAGCCCCGGCUAACUAC
rnacentral:rRNA from 1 species